rnacentral:rRNA from 1 species
AAUAGCCUAACGGCUGAACCAGCAACUUGGAGGAAUGUAUAGCAAUAGCUGAUUGCAUUUAUAAAAAAUAGAUGCAAAAUUGACUAUGUCAAAUAAAGUUCUAGGUAGAAUUAUGAUGAUGACAUUGUCUACCUAUGUGUCUUGACCAAAUUACGUGCCAGCUGUCGCGGUAAUACGUAGAAGACUAGUGUUAUUCAUCUUUAAUAGGUUUAAAGGGUACCUAGACGGUAAAUCAAGCCUUAGUCGGGACUAAUUUACUAGAGUUACUUACGAAGGGGUAUUAAAGUACUAUAGGUGUAGAGAUGAAAUUCUGUCAUACCUUUUUUCGAAAGAAAAACUAUGGCACAGGUAAAGGUGAAAGCAUCCCCUUAUGUGAUAACUGACGUUGAGGGACGAAGGCUUUGUGUCGCGAACAGGAUUAGAUACCCCAGUAGUCAAAGCAGAAAAUGAUGAAUGUCAUAGAUUAGAUAAAUAUAUAUGUAAUUUAUUCUAUAAAUGAAAGUGUAAGCAUUCCACCUCAAGAGUAAUUUGGCAACAUUGGAACUGAAAUCAUUAGACCGUUUCUGAAACCAGUAGUGAAGUAUGUUGUUUAAUUUGAUGUUCCGCAAAAAACCUUACCACAAUUUGAAUAUUUAUAUUUAUUUUCUUAUCAUCUUGAGAAAAGUUUUAUCUAAAGAAAAAGAUAGAUAAAAUGAGAAAAGAAUAUAUUUACAAGCGUUGCACGGCUGUCUUCAGUUAAUGUCGCGAGAUUUUGGUUAGUUCCAUUAAAUUAACGUAAACCCUUACUUUAUUUUUAUAUAAAGUAGUUCUCCGCUAUAUUGGAUAUGAUAACAGGGACUAAGACAAGUCAUCAUGGCCUGAAUAUUGUGGGCUAUAGACGUGCCACAUAAACCUUACAAAAGGAUGUGAAAUUGUGAAAUUGAGCUAAUCCCCCAAAACUGGAUAAACAUUUUUAAU